AGCUGGUACAUUUAGUACGAGAACAAACGGUGAAGAUGAAGGCUGUGAUUUUGUCUCUCGUUUUAUUGGCAGCGCUCACCACCAUGACACUAUGUGGACUUCCACCUCGUCUUGGUAGGGGCCUUAAAUCCGCCUGCACUCCUUAUUGCGGCUUGGGAAUGCGGCAUGGCCAGCGGUGUGGACCACUGUGUACCUGUCAAGCGUUCUUUCACGCCCCAGGAGCGUUAGCGUGCGUGGGAAUCUACUCCAGGAGUCCAUAUGGAGUCCGUCCUCGGCCAGUACCAGGACCACAACAUUAACUUGGAGAUACUCUUCCAAGAGGCUUCCUAUGGAGGUAGUUUCUCGCGAUGUAGGCCAUGAGCUUCUUGGAGCGUUUCAUUGGACCCGCUGUCGGGAAGAUUCAAAAAAUUUUAAUCCAACAACACUUGCGAUGCAAGCCCUGCGUACAGCAUAUAUAACGAUAGUAAACGGAAACAUUUAUGCAACUGGUCAAACGAUGUCGUUGUGUUCGUAAACCGCAAAUCCCCUCCCC